AACGAACGCUGGCGGCAUGCCUAACACAUGCAAGUCGAACGAGACCUUCUGGUCUAGUGGCGCACGGGUGCGUAACGCGUGGGAACCUGCCCUUAGGUUCGGAAUAACUCCCCGAAAGGGGUUCUAAUACCGGAUAAUGUCUUCGGACCAAAGAUUUAUCGCCUUUGGAUGGGCCCGCGUUGGAUUAGCUAGUUGGUAGGGUAAAAGCCUACCAAGGCGACGAUCCAUAGCUGGUCUGAGAGGAUGAUCAGCCACACUGGGACUGAGACACGGCCCAGACUCAUACGGGAGGAAGCAGUGGGGAAUAUUGGAAAAUGGGCGAAAGCCUGAGCCAGAAAUGCCGCGUGAGUGAUGAAGGCCUUAGGGUUGUAAAGCUCUUUUACCCGGGAUGAUAAUGACAGUACCGGGAGAAUAAGCUCCGGCUAACUCCGUG
rnacentral:rRNA from 1 species